UAAAUACUCCCUCCGUCCGGAAAUACUCGUCAUCAAAAUGGAUAAAAUGGGAUGUAUCUAGACGUAUUUUAGUUCUAGAUACAUCUCUUUUUAUCCAUUUUGAUGACAAGUAUUUUCGGACGGAGGGAGUACGUA
rnacentral:pre_miRNA from 1 species